rnacentral:rRNA from 1 species
UGUAAAAUUUUAAAGGUCGAACAGACUAAUAUUAUAGCUUCUACACCAAAAAUUAAUUUUAAUCCAACAUCGAGGUCGCAAUCUUUUCUUUUAAUAUGAACUUUAUAAAAAAAUUACGCUGUUAUCCCUAAGGUAAUUUUAUCUUAUAAUCAAAAAUAUUGGAUCAUUUAUUCAUAAAUUUAUGUUUAAAAAUAAAAAAAAGUUUAUUAAAUUUUUCAAUCACCCUAAUUAAAUUAUUAAAUAAAAUAUAUAAAUAAAUACUAAAAUAUAAUUUUUAUUUAAUAAUUAAACUCUAUAGGGUCUUCUCGUCUUUUAAAUUCAAUUAAGCUUUUUAACUUAAAA